CGUAUGUGAGACAAAUGUGAAUAAAUAAACAAAAUAAAUAAAGAUGAACUAUAAACAAAAGCAGAAAGAAAGUGAAAGAAUAAAGGGACAAGAAAGACUUUAGACAUGGCUAAGUAAAGAAAAGACAAAAAAAAAACAAACAGAACCAAACCCUUCUCUAAAUAUUGGUCUAAACUGUACAGUAUAUAAAUCCUGCUUAAUUAUUCUGAAAAGUACUGUAACUAUAACACAACAGUCCCCAUGUGUUUUAUUCAUUUAUCCUAGCAUUUUCUAAAUAAAAAUAUAAAAAUAUAAAUGUGCACGAGAGCCAAACUGACAUAACAGAUUCAGAAACGUACACCAGCACAUCCGCCUGAGCUGUAAAUAUUCCCUCAGCAGGGACCUCCACCACAAUGACAUUUAUUACACAUUUUAUUUCAUUAACUCUCAAUAUUUCUCUUUUAAAUUUUCAGAUUUUCUUUUCUUUUCAUUAUCUCUGGAUGGUAAUUAAGGCUGAAGAUAAACAAGAAAGCAAAAUGAGGUAAAAACAAGGACAAAAUGAUCAUUAAAAUAGUUACAUUAUUUAAAAAAAAAUAGUAAAAAUGUUUUUGCUAUUUAAAUCUUUUCUUCACAAUUUAAUGGAAAAUCUUUAAAGAAAUGAUGUGUUAUAGAAAUUCUGCCAUAUUAACUAUAGCAAAAAAUAUAUAUAUAAACCACACUGUAUGCAAAUUUCACCAUUCACAAGCAGAUAUAAAGACACUGCAAGGACACUGCAGUCUCUGUGUUUGGUUGUGUACAGCAGAGGAAUCAUGAGCUGGUCUUUUCUUCUUCUGAUAUCCUUUGUGCCCUAUGUGUGUUGCAUCAGUCUGACCUCGUCUCCUGAUCAGGUUAAACCUCCUGGAGAAACAGUGAAGUUGUCCUGUCAGAUUUCUGGUUAUGCCCUGACUGACUAUGGUACAGGCUGGAUCAGGCAACCUCCAGGAAAAAGCAUGGAGUGGAUCGGGAUCAUAUGGGGUGAUGGAAGCAUAAAUAAUGGAGCUUCCUUUAAAAGUCGGUUCAGCAUCUCCAGAGACACGAGCAGCAAUGUGCUAUACUUAGAUAUCAGCAGCCUGAAACCAGAGGACACGGCUGUUUACUACUGUGCAAAGACAGCCACAGCUAUACAACUCAGUGGGAGGGGCGUACAAAAACUUAGAAAAAGCAUCAACUUUAAUACAAAAUGCAACGAUGAUCAAACUGACAAGUACACAUUAUAA